CCUACGGGGGGCUGCAGUGGGGAAUAUUGGACAAUGGGCGGAACCCUGAUCCAGCGACGCCGCGUGAGUGAAGAAGUAUUUCGGUAUGUAAAGCUCUAUCAGCAGGGACGAAAGAAAUGACGGUACCUGACUAAGAAGCCCCGGCUAACUACGUGCCAUCAGCCGCGGUAAUGCGUAGGGGGCAAGCGUUAAUCGGAUUUACUGGGUGGAAAGGGAGCGUAGAGGGCGAUGCAAGUCUGAAGUGAAAGGCGGGGGCCCAACCCCCGGACUGCUUUGGAAACUGGCCGGCUGGAGUGCAGGAGAGGUAAGUGGAAUUCCUAGUGUAGCGGUGAAAUGCGUAGAUAUUAGGAGGAACACCAGUGGCGAAGGCGGCUUACUGGACUGUAACUGACGUUGAGGCUCGAAAGCGUGGGGAGCGAACAGGAUUAGAUACCCGAGUAGUC
rnacentral:rRNA from 1 species